rnacentral:rRNA from 1 species
CCUACGGGUGGCAGCAGUGAGGAAUAUUGGUCAAUGGGCGCGAGGCUGAACCAGCCAAGUCGCGUGAAGGAAGACUGCCCUACGGGUUGUAAACUUCUUUUAUAAGGGAAUAAAGUUAGGCACGUGUGCCUAUUUGUAUGUACUUUAUGAAUAAGGAUCGGCUAACUCCGUGCCAGCAGCCGCGGUAAUACGGAGGAUCCGAGCGUUAUCCGGAUUUAUUGGGGUUAAAGGGAGCGUAGAUGGUUUUUUAAGUCAGUUGUGAAAGUUUGCGGCUCAACCAUAAAAUUGCAAUUGAUACUGGCAGACUUGAGUACAUUUGAGGUAGGCGGAAUGCGUGGUGUAGCGGUGAAAUGCUUAGAUAUCACGAAGAACUCCGAUUGCGAAGGCAGCUUACUAAGCCACCACUGACACUGAUGCUCGAAAGUGUGGGUAUCAAACAGGAUUAGAUACCCGUGUAGUC